CUCUCUCUCUCUCUCUCUCAUUUAUCCGUUGCUUGUCUCUAUAUCUACGGAAAAAAUGUGCAACUGUUUGGCCAGCCCACGUGGAGCAAAGACAGAGCCUAAAGCUGAGCAGAACGUUUGAUGGGCUUCGAACUCAGGAGCAAAGUGUCCUUGGAACACAUGCUUACGUGUGGUGGAGUGUUCUUGGGCACGUUUUGGGAAUCAUUGUCACCGCUGCUGCCUGGCAGGCCCCACGGUGGAAGCCAGGCCACUGGCUUGUCAGCCACUUCCCCAGGGAGCAGCAAGCGUUCCAGCACCGUGUUUACUCUGGAAGCCGUAAAGGAGCCAGAUCCUGCCUCCAUCUGCCCCGGGGCCAGGCCCUCUGCCGUCCCGUCUGUCCCCUGGUCUGUCCCGAGGGGAGGCGUCGGUCCGUUCGCACCAGCUCCCUCGUCCGUCCCCUGCCCAGAGGGGACCGCUUCCUUCCCUACUGGCUAUGGGGGAAGGCGGUGAUGGGCUCACGUGCUGUGGAGGCCGAGAAGGCCCCCGGCGGCCAGCUGUGAGCAGGAGACGUGGGAGAGCCAGUGCUGUCGUCCAGUGUGAGGCCGAAGGACUGAGAAGCGGCAGCUGCCCUGUCUGGGGGCUGGAGAGGCUGGAGUCCCAGCUCUCGACGAGAGUGCAAAUUUGCCCUUCUCUUGCCGCUGACUGGGGGCUGCCCAUCCCCACUGGUGAGGGUGGGGCUCUUCAUUCAGUUUCUGAAUUAUUUCAGUUUUUGACACAAAGUGAACCAUCAUCAGGAAACCCUGAGCGGGGCCCUGUCAGGUCAGCCACGCGUGGAGAAGCACGGCUCCACUGGGAGCGCCUUCCUGCAGCCUUCUGCCCCCAGCACGCUUCCGCGCUGACUCCAGGGGCUUUCGGGCUGCCAUCACGCCGGCCAUUGCCUCCCCACACGCCACCCUUGGAAGUCAUGCUCUCCCGCUUUGUUCUCUCGAUGUAGGACUCUCCUUCCCAGGGAGCCUGCUUUCCAAGCAGCCCUGGUGCCAGCAGCUGCAGGCUUUUUUUAGGGAUGAGCUGACGUCUUACCGAGUGUUCUCAGUUGGCCUGGCCCCCCACUGCAGGUCACCCGGAGGAAGCCAUGUGAUGGGAAACAGAAAACAGAGCGGCUCCUCAGCCCCGAGCUCCUGACAUUCCCUCCGGCUGCCUGGGCCUCCCUCAAGCUCCAUUCCAGGAGCAGCUGUGGGCUGGGGUCCACCUGUUCUUCCUCCUCUGAGACUUACCUGUGGUCCUCCCUCUUGACCCAUCCUGGCUCCUGCUCCCAGGGACCCCUGCUCUUUGAGGCCCCCCUGCCCCCUGAGGCCCCUCCUGCUCCCCCAGUCUCCUCCUGCCCUCUGAGAUCCCCCUCCCCCACCCCCGUCCCCUCCUGCCUGGCCAUCCCCACCCCGGGGGGUGUGGGGGAGCAGAGAGGCAUCUGCCCACCUUCCCACUCAUGGCACGAACCCCGCUGCGCGGCCGCUGCCCGCUGCCUUCCCUGGCCCUACACCCGGCGGCCCCAUCCUAGCAUUUCCUAGCAUCCUAGCCCAGUGGAGUGGGAGCUGGAGAGAGAGAGCUUGGGCUGAGGGCGGUCACCCCGCGGUCUUCGCAGACCUCAGAGAGGCUGCACGGAAUCCUUGUGGCCUGGAGCACGUCCCCGCCGGGGCAGGGCCAGGGGUCUCUGGCCACCGCGUUCCCGGAGUCCUGAGUCCACUGUUCACCACCCCUGGAGGCCUGUGGUCAGAGACCUACUUGCAGCAAGAUUUCUCCCUCUUGACUCCAGUGUGACUGGUGUUCUUCCCCGAGAGGCAGGGGUCCCUGCUUGCCACCCCCUUGCCACCCCUAGCUGCCUGUCAUGGGACCCCGAGCCAGAGACGCUCUCCUGCAGCUCCUGUCCCCCAGAAACCAGGACAGACCUCAGCGACGGCUGUUGUUUGCAGCCCGUGUGCUCUGAGGUCUGUUGCUUAGUCGUCGCACGGGAACAGGUGCGCGGCACUCGGGAAGGCAGGCGCACAUCCCCAGACCUCAGAGAGCCAGCGGAUGGGCCUUCCAAGCUGCGAGAAGCACCUUCCAGAAAUGUGUGCCAUAGGCCUCGUGUUAUGAGUAAAAUAUCUGCUGCUUCCCCUGACCGUUUGGGUAUCGAUUUCCACGGGUUAGGGAAUCGGCUCUUUGGCCUCCCAUAAACCCGAAAGCAGGUGCCACAGCACAUCCUUCCUGGGCCGCCUCACCGGUGCUCCGUAUUUACAGGCACCUGGGCUCUCGUUGGUGCCUUUAUCCAAACAGAAAGCCCUGGAAAUAACGAGAAAAGGGCUGGGGAUCUGCUUAUUUGCCCAGACAUCUGGAAAACAAUUUUAAAUAUUUAUGUGAGAUCUGCAGGCAUUACACGUUUGCUGUGGGGAGCUUCCGUGGCUGCGUGGUGCAGUAGAGGAGGAAAAAAAAGACAUUCUCUGUAGAGAAAGCAAGCAUUUUGUAUUCCUGCUUGAAACGUUGGUUGCCCUGUUCUUCUUAAAUGUAUCUGAAAAAAAUAAAUUGGACUCGCAAAGGGAA